rnacentral:rRNA from 1 species
GAUGAACGCUGGCGGCGUGCCUAAUACAUGCAAGUCGAGCGAACGGACGAGAAGCUUGCUUCUCUGAUGUUAGCGGCGGACGGGUGAGUAACACGUGGAUAACCUACCUAUAAGACUGGGAUAACUUCGGGAAACCGGAGCUAAUACCGGAUAAUAUUUUGAACCGCAUGGUUCAAAAGUGAAAGACGGUCUUGCUGUCACUUAUAGAUGGAUCCGCGCUGCAUUAGCUAGUUGGUAAGGUAACGGCUUACCAAGGCAACGAUGCAUAGCCGACCUGAGAGGGUGAUCGGCCGCACUGGAACUGAGACACGGUCCAGACUCCUACGGGAGGCAGCAGUAGGGAAUCUUCCGCAAUGGGCGAAGGCCUGACGGAGCAACGCCGCGUGAGUGAUGAAGGUCCUCGGAUCGUAAAACUCUGUUAUUAGGGAAGAACAUAUGUGUAAGUAACUGUGCACAUCUUGACGGUACCUAAUCAGAAAGCCACGGCUAACUACGUG